GCCACCGGCGACCUCUCGGGAAACGGGCAGACGGCGGGAGUUUAGGACACCACUGCAACUUGGGCUUCUCCUUAUCCACAUCCGGGCGGUUGGCUCUGCUUCUUCUCUACUUGCUGCUGCUGUUGGAGCACUGAACGCUUGGUCUUGGACAUCACAACCACCCCACCAUUACCUUGGACGCUACUUCAAAUCCUGGCGGCACAAAAUUUUAGUGGAAACAUAAGGAAAUUUGCAAGCGGGGAUUAGAAGAAUUAUUCUGAACUGAAUGAAGAAGCUACGCACCUUUUAGCGAACUUUUAUAUGCUUGCAUAGUUUUUGCUCUUCGACAAUGAACCUUGUAAAAUUUCAAAAAAUUCUUACUAAGUUAAUUAAGCUUCAUGUAUGACAGAUUUUCAUUGGGAAUAGAUACACUUUUGUCAAAGGAGUAUCAUGUCAGAUUUACCAUCUUGUAAAAUCAACUGUGAUGGGUCGUUCUCUGCACCUGAGGGCACUGGUGGUGGUGGUGGCUGGGGCUUCUUCAUACAGGACUUGCCGGGAGAUGUGAGAGGCUCUAGAGCGGGGCGCCUUCGACAUGUAGCAAGUGCUCUUCAAGCGGAAGCGACGGCAUGCAGUGCUGCUCUGCAAGCAGCCUCCUGAUGGGGUAUGAAGUAUGUGGAGGUCGAGUCUAAUUGCCAGACACUGAUAAAAGCACUCCAAAGUUCAGUUUAUGUCAGGGCACCAGAAGGAAUUUUAUUGAGAGAGAUUUGGGACUUCGCUCGUCUAAGUUUCAGUACUUGCACGUUUUAUUUUGUCCCCAAGUCAUGUAAUAAUUUGGUGCAUGCUCUUCUAGCUUUUGGUGCCUCUCAACAGGCAGGCCUACAUCUGUGGUUAGAGGACCUGCCUGACAAGGUACUUGUACGACGGGACAACGCUUUGGUUAAGCCAGUGUGAGUAUGGAAUCGGAGUGUUGCAUUUCAAAAAUAAAAAGAAAAGAUUUACCAUCUUGUAAA